CCUUCCACGUUAACACUACACCUCAGCUAUUCGAAUUCACCUCUUUUCAGAUUUUAAGGAUUCAGAAACGGUUCGAUCGGUUUUUUGUUUCAGUACUAGGUGAUUGAUCGGUUUGUUUUCUUGGCAGAACGAGGAAAAGAGAGCCUUUUAGGUUGAAGAAAAACUUGAAUCAAUGGGUUACGUGAUUCUGAUAUCACUGCCAAUGAUCCUCUUCUUCCUCAUCACGGCCCUUGCUUGUUACCUGUUUGGUAGAUCACGAGGCCGCCGCGAAACCGCCAUGCUUCCUCAGUACUAUGGACCGCCACCACCAGCACCUCCUCCCGGGGUCCUUUCUCCGCCUCCUGAAAAAUAGCAUUCUUGCUUUCUUAUUUUGCUUCUCAUUGUACAGGUCAUGUUGUUAACAUUUGAGCAAGUUGGACGUUGUUUGUUUAAUUGUAUGAGACCAAAUAAUUAUACGAUACUUGAAGACAUCAGACGUUACUAGACGUUACUAUUAAGGAUACAUGCACAUUUCAACGAU